rnacentral:rRNA from 1 species
UUCCAGACUCCUACGGGAGGCAGCAGUAGGGAAUAUUGCACAAUGGGGGAAACCCUGAUGCAGCGACGCCGCGUGGGUGAAGAAGUAUUUCGGUAUGUAAAGCUCUAUCAGCAGGGAAGAAAAUGACGGUACCUGACUAAGAAGCCCCGGCUAACUACGUGCCAGCAGCCGCGGUAAUACGUAGGGGGCAAGCGUUAUCCGGAUUUACUGGGUGUAAAGGGAGCGUAGACGGCAUGGCAAGUCAGAUGUGAAAGCCCGGGGCUCAACCCCGGGACUGCAUUUGAAACUGUCAGGCUGGAGUGCAGGAGAGGUAAGUGGAAUUCCUAGUGUAGCGGUGAAAUGCGUAGAUAUUAGGAGGAACACCGGCGGCGAAGGCGGCCUGCUGGACCGUGACUGACGUUGAGGCUCGAGAGCGUGGGGAGCAAACAGGAUUAGAUACCCCCGUAAC